rfam:Parcubacteria bacterium GW2011_GWA2_47_8 TY09_C0042, whole genome shotgun sequence.
GGCUCCGUGGUCGAGUGGCUUAGACAAGGGUCUGCAAAACCCUUUACGGCGGUUCAAUUCCGCCCGGGGCCU